GCGUAAUAGCUCAGUCAGUAGAGCAUGAGACUCUUAAAUCUCAGGUUUGUGGGUUCAAGCCUCAGGUUGGGCA